UACGUAGGGGGCAAGCGUUGUUCGGAAUUACUGGGCGUAAAGGGCGCGUAGGCGGCACAGCAAGUCGGGAGUGAAAGCCCGGGGCUCAACCCCGGAGGGUCAUGGAAACCAACAGUCUUGAAUCUGGAAGAGGAGAGUGGAAUUCCUGGUGUAGCGGUGGAAUGCGCAGAUAGUCGGGAGGAACACCGGUGGCGAAGGCGGUUCUCUGGGCAUUACCUGACGCUGAGGAGCCGAAAGUGUGGGGAGCGAACAGG
rnacentral:rRNA from 1 species